UCUAGCUGCUAAGAGCAAAUUCCAAACAAUCUGCUGUGUGGAAUUCAAUUCAGUUUCUUACCUGGCUCCAGAAUUUUCCCUUAAUCUACAACUGUGUUUGGAACACACACAUGUUGCUGUAAUUUUUCUGAUUUGUUUCCCAAUACAUUUUCACAACAUGACACUGAAGUUAUCUCUAAGAACUAUGCACUGUACUAUCAACUACCUUUGUGACCUCAUCUACAGCUGAAAAUUGAUUAAAUCCAGACAGCAUCUGGAGUGCCCAUAAAUAUUUCAGCUUCUUGAGGGACAAGGAGAAUAAUUUUAAAAUUCCUUGCUGUCAUGCAUGAGGACAAGAAAAGCCAGGAUUUACACCCCUUUUCCUGGGGAGGAGGGGGAGAGACCCAAACACACAACCCCACACAAGGACUGCCAACCAUCUCCCAGGUGGGCAUGUAUGUAAACAGUGUUUCAAAUCGU